rnacentral:antisense_RNA from 1 species
CGGUUCGUCGCGGUCGGAUCCGGGGAAGAC